AAACGGGUGGUAAUGCCGGAUGCUCCGGUUGGAUGCAUGUCCUUCCGGGAAAGGUUCCAUCGGUAUGGGAUGGGGUCGCGUCCUAUCAGCUUGAUGGCGGGGUAACGGCCCACCAUGGCUUCGACGGGUAGCCGGCCUGAGAGGGCGACCGGCCACAUUGGGACUGAGAUACGGCCCAGACUCCUACGGGAGGCAGCAGUGGGGAAUAUUGCACAAUGGGCGCAAGCCUGAUGCAGCGACGCCGCGUGCGGGAUGGAGGCCUUCGGGUUGUAAACCGCUUUUGAUCGGGAGCAAGCCCUUCGGGGUGAGUGUACCUUUCGAAUAAGCACCGGCUAACUACGUGCCAGCAGCCGCGGUAAUACGUAGGGUGCAAGCGUUAUCCGGAAUUAUUGGGCGUAAAGGGCUCGUAGGCGGUUCGUCGCGUCCGGUGUGAAAGCCCAUCGCUUAACGGUGGGUCUGCGCCGGGUACGGGCGGGCUGGAGUGCGGUAGGGGAGACUGGAAUUCCCGGUGUAACGGUGGAAUGUGUAGAUAUCGGAAAGAACACCA
rnacentral:rRNA from 1 species